GAUCCUCAACCACGGAGAAAACUAAUAAGGUUUUAAGCAUCACAUCGUUUUUCUGCAUUACCAAAACCUGCAGGUUUUCAGCGUUAGAUUUCUGUGUUACCCACGGCAGGGCCUAGAACAGGAGGCGGUUGCGCGUGAGCAGUAUGUCUUUUUUUAACUCCAGCAAGAGCAACGCAAAUCGUAAACGCCAAGAGCCCGAUUCUCAUCCUUCUGGCCCCUCCAUCCAUCCUUGACGAAAUGGUUGUAAUUCUGGCGGGACCUGGGGCACAACACUCUGGUUCUGGAAGGACAGAGCGAGUGCGUGGGUGUGUAUGAACACUGGAGGAGGGGGCAGCAAGACGUGAUCACGGAGUGGGAGGGAAGAAUGAUGAUGCCUCUUCUAGGGCGGGAAGAAACUACGAGAGGUGGCUGUUAUGCAUGACGGGGGCAGGCACGCGGGGAAGAUGGUGGUGGCCGCAGGAAAAUGUGGGGAAGCAAAAUCCUCUGCCGCUCCAGGCCUGGAAGGAUCCUCCGUGAUAGGACGCUGGGUUAGGGGCUCCAGGCAGACAGGGAGCUCAAGCCGCUUAAAUAUCAAGGGAACGACUUUAAAUCUAGCUGGAUGGAACUGCCACUCACCGCUAGAAAUCGGGGAUCGACAGCGAACUCUGGAU